ACGGCCGCAAGGUUAAAACUCAAAUGAAUUGACGGGGGCCCGCACAAGCGGUGGAGCAUGUGGUUUAAUUCGAUGCAACGCGAAGAACCUUACCUGGUCUUGACAUCCACGGAAGUUUUCAGAGAUGAGAAUGUGCCUUCGGGAACCGUGAGACAGGUGCUGCAUGGCUGUCGUCAGCUCGUGUUGUGAAAUGUUGGGUUAAGUCCCGCAACGAGCGCAACCCUUAUCCUUUGUUGCCAGCGGUCCGGCCGGGAACUCAAAGGAGACUGCCAGUGAUAAACUGGAGGAAGGUGGGGAUGACGUCAAGUCAUCAUGGCCCUUACGACCAGGGCUACACACGUGCUACAAUGGCGCAUACAAAGAGAAGCGACCUCGCGAGAGCAAGCGGACCUCAUAAAGUGCGUCGUAGUCCGGAUUGGAGUCUGCAACUCGACUCCAUGAAGUCGGAAUCGCUAGUAAUCGUGGAUCAGAAUGCCACGGUGAAUACGUUCCCGGGCCUUGUACACACCGCCCGUCACACCAUGGGAGUGGGUUGCAAAA
rnacentral:rRNA from 1 species